GCCACGUUCACGGGAAAGGAAUGCAGUGGUGUUUGGUCUCUUAGACUGGAAUCAACAUUUACACAAGAAAAUGUUAGACAAGCAAGUUGAAAAUUCCAAAAGCAUGCUCAAAUGAUUGCUACUUCUCAACCGAAACUAGCCAGUAUCUUUCUGGAUGGCAAUUGUUUUGUGACUUGAGAUGGCAUCAGGAGGGCUGGAGGAAGAAUGCUAUGGCUCAUCUUACGAUUCUGAAGAACACCAUCCUUAUGCGGGGGGGAGAAAAAUCCCUUGUCAUCCACUGGGGAGGGGAGGAAAAGCAGUUAAAUGAGAACAUCCAUGCCUCCAUCCUCAUGCUGCCUUCUGCGCAGUUGAUGAAUGAGAAUCAGGAUCCUUCUUGGCACACUGAAGAGAUUUUGACAACAGGCAAGUGGCUUUCUUUAAGGAAUAAUGCCAGUAUCUUUGAUAAGAAUGACAGAGUCACAGGACAAAUACCUUUUCCAGUUUUGAAGUGCUGAGCUUUAUGAAUAGGUAAGUAUUCAAUAUGCACUUCUGCUAUUGCAAUAAACCACCAUACUUUCUAAAUAAAUUAUCUUUUUAAUCAGCACAAGUUAGAAAAAUUAGUGCUAAUAUCUAGAGAGAUUUCACACCAUAAAAAUAUAUUGCAUUCUUACCAUAAUUUUAGUCAGUAACAACAACAAAUUUGCUGCGCAGGUUUCAGCUCCUGAAGAAGUGUAGUUUACCAGAAAAACUGUUACAAACAAACUAGAAAUGAGUGAAACUUCACUUCUAAGAAGACAGCUUGAGAAGAAAGAAAUGAGCUUGUUCUACCUUCUAAUUGUCUUGAGAAACGCUUUUUCUGCUUCUAAUUACUUUGGCUGUGAAGAGUGUAUCCUCUUCAGUAUUUCUAAAAAACUUUAUCAGAAUUCCUGCCAUUCCUCUCCUGUCCAUUCCCUGUUCUAAGGCCAUAGAUGAGAAUAAGUUGUCCUGUCUGCUUGUAAAAAGUUAUAAACCUAAAUUAUAAACUCUCUUCUGAAAUAUCUUUUGUGGUUUGAAUAUUCAGGUAGCUACUGAAUUCAGAUGUAUUUCUCACUUGUGCAUUCAUAUUUCUGGUUAAGCUCAGGAAUUCAAAAAAUAAUAUCAGAAAGGAAUACUCAGAAGUUCAUUGCUUUUGUGGCUUUUUUCACUGAGGCCAGUUUUAGGCCAUGUUGUCAAUGAUCAGUCUGUGCUCUUCAGUUCUAUAUUAUAUACAUAAACUAUGUGUGCAACGAAUUAUGUUUUCUUAGCCUCUCCAUACAGUUUAUUAAACAUUAGUUGGAAUACUUCCAUCCCUAAAGUGAAACCUUUGGCAUAAAUAAUAUAGUCAUUUGGAUAGGCAAGACAUACUUUCGCAAAGCGACCUUGUAAAAAUAUUGUCUGAGGUAUUACUGAGCCUAAAUUAUAUGACAGUGAGGUAUUAUAUUCUGCUACCUCUGGUAUAUGAGGUUUGGGUUGUUGGUUUUUUUUUUUCAGUUGCAGAUGUUUAUAUAAAUUCUUUGUCUGGCAAAGGCAAACAUUGUUUACUAUGGUUUUUCUGUCUGAUUGUUUUCCUUCAUAAAAUAAAAGGAUAGGAAGCACUGGAAGGACGCUUUUCUGCCUACAUUAUAAAUACAGGUAAGACCGGAAUAGUUGGGUCAGAAUUAAUUUUUCCUCUCUCUCUUGUUACAGCUCUCUCAAAUAUUUCCUAUGUCAUUCAGGGAUAACUUGAUUGUUUGGGUGCUGUAGAUG